CCCUUAGAUGUUCUGGGCCGCACGCGCGCUACACUGUUCGACGCAGCGAGUCUUAACCUUGACCGAAAGGUUUGGGUAAUCUUCAGCAAAGUCGAACGUGAUGGGGAUCGAUCAUUGCAAUUAUUGAUCGUGAACGAGGAAUUCCUAGUAAGUGCAAGUCAUCAGCUUGCGCUGAUUACGUCCCUGCCCUUUGUACACACCGCCCGUCGCUACUACCGAUUGAAUGGUUUAGUGAGAUCUCUGGAUUGACGCUGGCUAGGGGGCGACCCUUGGCCAGACUGUUGAGGAACUGCUCAAACUUGAUCAUUUAGAGGAAGUAAAAGUCGUAACA
rnacentral:rRNA from 1 species